ACGAACGCUGGCGGCGUGCUUAACACAUGCAAGUCGAACGGAAAGGCCCUGCUUUUGUGGGGUGCUCGCGUGGCGAACGGGUUAGUAACACGUGAGUAACCUGCCCUUUACUUUUGGAUAACUUCAGGAAACUGGGGCUAAUACCGGAUAGGAGCUCCUGCUGCAUGGUGGGGGUUGGAAAGUUUCGGCGGUUGGGGAUGGACUCGCGGCUUAUCAGCUUGUUGGUGGGGUAGUGGCUUACCAAGGCUUUGACGGGUAGCCGGCCUGAGAGGGUGACCGGCCACAUUGGGACUGAGAUACGGCCCAGACUGCUACGGGAGGCAGCAGUGGGGAAUAUUGCACAAUGGGCGGAAGCCUGAUGAAGCAACGCCGCGUGCGGGAUGACGGCCUUCGGGUUGUAAACCGCUUUCGCCUGUGACGAAGCGUGAGUGACGGUAAUGGGUAAAGAAGCACCGGCUAACUACGUG
rnacentral:rRNA from 1 species